AUCAAAAAGAAAAUACUUACAGCCUCAUUAACACGUUGCUGUCACAGGUUGACCACCUGUGGUAAUUAGUGAAACAAAACUACUACGAAAGUAUUUCUAGUUGUACAAAAAAAAAAAAAUUCCUAGAAGGUAUAAUUCCAAACCAAUAUAAAAUGAGAAAGCAAAACCAUUAGAUUUUCAGAUUUAAAAGGACGCAUGGAAGAACAUGUGUUCACAUUUACCUUCUUUUUUUUUUUUUCUUCCUUUUUUUUCUCCCCAUCCACCCCUGGGAGCUGAGGACCAAACCCAGGGUCUUGCGCUUGCUAGGCAAGUGCUCUACCACUGAGCUAAAUCCCAAAAAACCUCCCCCACCCACAUUUGCCUUCUUAAGGAAAGUUCUAAGGCUCACAAAAAGCUAUAGCAACAUUUUGCAUUUUCCAAGGAAAGGUAAAGGUUAGGAGAAAAAGAGUAUUUUGAGGCCCUACUCUUGAUUACAUAUGUUGAUUACAUAUGUUCUCAUUUUCACCUCAGUUUUAUGCAGCAUUAUCUCUCCUUUUAUACCUGCUUCUAACUUUGAAGGUUGAUAUUUAAAAAUACUAACUGGAAAACGAAUCUUGUUUGCAUUUCCGAUACGUUCACCUUAUAUAAAAGCUAGCAGUGUAUGAGGCCCCAAAGAGUCAAGCCUCAGGUGGGAAGGUGUGCUCUGUUUCAUACAGCAGGAAGGAGCUGCUGCAGGGCCAGAGCUGAUGCAUACAAGAAUGGGAGAAUAGCUUCCUUGCUUCUGAGGAAGAUGGUUGGUUCAGGGAAGCACCUUGUGAGGAAUGUGGGUCAAGAGGAUGCAUAGGGAAAGCUGGAUUCCUCUCCUGGCAGGAUCAGGCCUUGAUGCUUAGUGCUCUGGCUCUACUUCUGUAAUCUCUUCUGCAUUUGAAUUUAGUAAUAAUUCUCACUUUUGAGAGCUUAUUAGUCUGCUUUACCUGUGCUUUCAUUUCCUGCAGUCCAAAAACCCAGUGUGGUGCCAUACAAUAUUUUGAGAGAUAGGCAAAGACAACAUUCAAAUGACUUUUAUUACAGUAAAUUGCUUAAAUUAUUGUACUUUAUUGUUUCCCUUUACAUAAUUUGUAAGUUGAACUUUUUCAUAGUUAUAUGCAUUUCAAGAAAAAAAAACAAUUUUACAGGAUUUUGUACUGCCUCAUUUAGAUAUUGACUGUGAAUCUUGAAGCCUACGGAGGUGAUAAGGAGCUACUGUCUCCCAAAGCAGUGUGUUUGAGCAAUGUCCCUAUUUUUCCUUUGUAAAUUCAUAACUUACAGUACCAUUAUACCAUUUACAUUCAUAUCUGGCAGUUUUCAGCUCUUUCAUAGAUGUGUUAAUUUUCUCAAUAUUUUACCAUGAAAAAUGGUAAGAGAAGUUCAAUUAUACAGUGAACAUCCAUGUAUCUUUCACCUAGAUUUGUAUCAAUUAUACUGUAGUUUAUCAUAUCAUAUAUCAAUCAAUUCUUUUAUCCAUAUAGCAGUCUACUUUAAUUUGAUAUAUUUCAACCUAAGUUGUAGACAUUAUUAUAAUUUACUCUUAGACAGUUAAAUAUGCUUGUCAUUAACUAAGAGGUCAACAUGUUUAAUGAAUCCUUUUUUCCUUAUGAGGCAAAAUUUACUAAGAGGGAAACUUAAAUGUGCAUUCACUAAAUUUGACCAAUAUAUAUAAUGCUAGAUUAUACAUGACACAAUAAAAAUACCUACCAAGAUGUAAAUUAGUUGCAGUAACUAUGAAAUUUCUCUUGUGUCUCUUCCCAGCAGUCCUCCUCCCUUUUCCUCCACCAUUUGUGUGUGUUAUUUUAAUAUUAAAUAGCAACUAUUUCCUCAACUGUUGUAUAUGACUUUAAAAACUAGUUCAUUUGUGAAUAAGGAUUUGCUAGUUUAAUACU
rnacentral:lncRNA from 1 species